AUCCUGGUGGUUGUACAACUUCAUUGCUCUCCUUUUGUCUCCACCAUUUAUGUUUGGAAUUCUCUUAUUCUUUUGAGCGGAUUGGGAACCCAUCCCUCUGCCAGAGAAUUCCAAGGAAGACAUUCUUCUAUUCUUCAAACGUUAAGACCCUCUUGGGCAGGAGAUACGGUAUUAUACCUGCUCAGUUUUUUUUUUUUUUUUUUUUUUUUGUUAGAUAAAAUUUGGUUAUUCUAAGAGAUAGUCAUUCCAUGUUUGUCUAAUGUCAACCUAUUUAAACAAUUUCAAGUAAAAUCUGCAUGAAAAAAGAUUCAUCACUAAGUUUUGGUACUCCUAUGAAUGUUAUAAUGUGAAAUGAUUAUCAUAUUAGCA